UUGGAGGGCAAGUCUGGUGCCAGCAGCCGCGGUAAUUCCAGCUCCAAUAGCGUAUAUUAAAGUUGUUGCAGUUAAAAAGCUCGUAGUUGAAUUUCGAGACCGGUUUACUGGUCGUGCUUUUGUACGUACUGGUAUAAUCGGUUUCUCUUUUCUGACGAACUAUAGUGCCAUUAAUUUGGUGUUAUAGGGAAUCAGGACUGUUACUUUGAAAAAAUUAGAGUGUUUAAAGCAGGCUCACGCUUGAAUACAUUAGCAUGGAAUAACGGAAUAGGACGUUUGAUUCUAUUUUGUUGGUUUCUAGGAUCGACGUAAUGAUUAAUAGGGAUAGUUGGGGGCAUUAGUAUUCAAUUGUCAGAGGUGAAAUUCUUGGAUUUAUUGAAGACUAACUACUGCGAAAGCAUUUGCCAAGGAUGUUUUCAUUAAUCAAGAACGAAAGUUAGGGGAUCGAAGACGAUCAGAUACCGUCGUAGUCUUGACCAUAAACUAUGCCGACUAGGGAUCGGAUGAUGUUAAUUUUUUAAUGACUCAUUCGGCGCCUUACGGGAAAC
rnacentral:rRNA from 1 species